rnacentral:rRNA from 1 species
CAUAGCGACUAUCGUGGCAUAUCAAUAAGCGGAGGAAAAGAAACUAACAAGGAUUCCCCUAGUAACGGCGAGUGAAGCGGGAAGAGCUCAAAUUUGAAAUCUUAAAGGGUCUUCCUUUACGAAUUGUAGUUUAAAGAAGUGUUUUCUGUUGGAGUUUCGGUAAAAGUUCUUUGGAAUAGGACAUCAUAGAGGGUGAGAAUCCCGUAUUUGACCGUUACUUUUCAGCUGUGUGAUACACUUUCAAAGAGUCGGAUUGUUUGGGAAUGCAGUCCAAAAUGGGUGGUAAAUUUCAUCUAAAGCUAAAUAUUGGCGAGAGACCGAUAGCGAACAAGUACCGUGAGGGAAAGAUGAAAAGAACUUUGAAAAGAGAGUUAAACAGUACGUGAAAUUGUCAAAAGGGAAGCGUUUGACACCAGUGUUGUUUUUCUCGAAAAUCAAUUAAGAAUGAUGGGAUUUUGUGUUGUAUUGACUUUAUCAGCUUUCUGCACUUUUCUCUUAUCUUUUUUAAUGCACUUUUCGUUUAACAAGUCAACAUCAAUUUCUUUUGUUGUAAAAGAGUCAUUGGAAGGUGGCUUUUUCUUCGGAAAAAGUGUUUAUAGCCUUUGGCUUCUGCAAUCGGAGAGAUUGAGGUCUGCAGCGUAGAUCCUUCGGGGUUAGAUACAUUUGUGCUAGCUAUAGUUCUUUAUAGACAACUUGUUGACUAUAAUCAAUCCUGUAACUUACUCGCUUAUGCUAUUUUACCUACGCUUAGGAUGUUGAUAUGCAUGACUGAUAU